rnacentral:rRNA from 1 species
GGCGUGCCUAACACAUGCAAGUCGAACGAGAAAGCUCCUUCGGGAGUUAGUAGAGUGGCGCACGGGUGAGUAACACGUGGAUAAUCUGCCUGAUAAUCUGGGAUAACAUUUCGAAAGGGAUGCUAAUACCGGAUAAGCCCACAGCCUCUUCGGAGGCAGCGGGAAAAGAUGGCCUCUUCUUGAAAGCUAUUGUUAUCAGAUGAGUCCGCGGUCCAUUAGCUAGUUGGUAGGGUAAUGGCCUACCAAGGCAACGAUGGAUAGCUGGUUUGAGAGAAUGAUCAGCCACACUGGAACUGAGACACGGUCCAGACUCCUACGGGAGGCAGCAGUGGGGAAUUUUGCGCAAUGGGGGAAACCCUGACGCAGCAACGCCGCGUGAGUGAUGAAGGUUUUCGGAUCGUAAAGCUCUGUCAAGAGGGAAGAAACCUCCAAUGGUUAAUAUCUGUUGGAAUUGACGGUACCUCUAGAGGAAGCACCGGCUAACUCCGUGCCAGCAGCCGCGGUAAUACGGAGGGUGCAAGCGUUGUUCGGAAUUAUUGGGCGUAAAGCGCGUGUAGGCGGUUUGUUAAGUCUGAUGUGAAAGCCCCGGGCUCAACCUGGGAAGUGCAUUGGAAACUGGCAAACUUGAGUACGGGAGAGGGAAGUGGAAUUUCGAGUGUAGGGGGUGAAAUCCGUAGAUAUUCGAAGGAACACCAGUGGCGAAGGCGGCUUCCUGGACCGAUACUGACGCUGAGACGCGAAAGCGUGGGGAGCAAACAGGAUUAGAUACCCUGGUAGUCCACGCCGUAAACGAUGGGUACUAGGUGUUGCGGGUAUUGACCCCUGCAGUGCCGAGCUAACGCAUUAAGUACCCCGCCCUGGGGAGU